AGCCUACACUGGACAUGUGGAUGUUGAGUGAUAGAGGAUGGACAGCAAAAAAAACUCCAAACCCGCUGGACCAAGGCACCUGCCCACGAGUGGAUCCUAAAGGACUUGCAUCAGCCGUGAGUUUGGACACUGGAGCAUCUUUGGGGCCACAGCUACAGCAGGAAGGGCUGGGGCUAGACAUUCGGAGCGCCUUCCAAGCGUGAGGGAGGAGGAGUGCUGCGGAGUGGAGCAGGAGGCCGAGGAAGAGAUGUGCGAGCCUACGUGC
rnacentral:lncRNA from 1 species